UACGUAGGGACCAAGCGUUGUUCGGAAUUACUGGGCGUAAAGCGCGUGUAGGCUGCUUCGCAAGUCGGAUGUGAAAGCCCUGGGCUCAACCCAGGAAGUGCAUUCGAAACUGCAGAGCUGGAGUCCUGGAGAGGAAGGCGGAAUUCUCGGUGUAGAGGUGAAAUUCGUAGAUAUCGAGAGGAACACCGGUGGCGAAGGCGGCCUUCUGGACAGUGACUGACGCUGAGACGCGAAAGCGUGGGGAGCAAACAGG
rnacentral:rRNA from 1 species